UUUUUGAAUCCACACGUCAGUUUGUCGACGGUCCGUCUGUAUCUGUUUAUCGAGUGUGUGUGUGUGUGUGUGUGUGUGUGUGUGUGUGUGUGUGUAUGUGUGUGUGUCAGCUCCGCCUGAACACACGGAGCAGCAGCCCAUUAAUCUGAGCAAAACAACCGUCAAACACCUAAACGCGUUUAUCUCCUAAUUCUGGUCAUUUUUGUUUAUUGUUAAUUUACCGGUAAGCUAGUAGUUAACGUGUUGCGUGUUAGCUUGUGUAUGUGUACGGCGUUGCCAUGGUGACUCUUCGCACUCGAGGCACAGGGGACGCGUAUCCGAGCACCGGGCCGCUGCAGCAGCAGAUGCCGUCCAAUUCCCCGCUGCAGGCUGCACCAGGGAUCCAGAGCAGCAGCAGCAGCACGGUCCCCAGGCCGGAAGAAUCCGCACUGUGCGAUAGAAUUAAUGAUGAUGAUCAGAAUUACGUUGAUUCAGAAACACACGAGGAUGAAGAUGAGAAACCACAGAGAGCCAUCAUCAGGAAAUCUCCAAGGCUUCAAAACACUGCAGAUGGUGGAAAGAGGAGUGGGCUGAGGAGAAGCACCAGGUCGACCAAACCGACCUGCAGAUAUCAGGACUCCAACAUGUUCGACGGCAUCGGCACCAACACGGCCAGGUUGGUUCUGAAUAAGAUGGACAACAUGAAGAAGAAAAGGCAUCUUAGUAACAACAAAAAAGGAAAGACAAGAACUCCUGUGCCUCCACAGACAGAGCCCAGUGACAACGAGGAUGACAACGGUUUGUCCCAACAUUCAGG
rnacentral:lncRNA from 1 species